AACGCACAUUGCGCCCGCCAGUAUUCUGGCGGGCAUGCCUGUCUGAGCGUCGUUUCGACCCUCGCGCCCGGCUUCUGUCGGGGGCGGUGUUGGGGAUCGGCCACACCCUUUACUGGGCGGCCGUCCCCUAAAUCCAGUGGCGACCACGCUGUAGCCUCCCCUGCGUAGUACUAAAACCACCUCGCAGGCGGAGAGCGGUGCGGCCCGCCGUAAAACCCCCAACUUUUACAAGGUCGACCUCAGAUCAGGUAGGAAUACCCGCUGAACUUAA
rnacentral:misc_RNA from 1 species